rnacentral:rRNA from 1 species
GACGAACGCUGGCGGCGUGCCUAAUACAUGCAAGUAGAACGCUGAAGGAGGAGCUUGCUCUUCUGGAUGAGUUGCGAACGGGUGAGUAACGCGUAGGUAACCUGCCUGGUAGCGGGGGAUAACUAUUGGAAACGAUAGCUAAUACCGCAUAAUAUUGAUUAUUGCAUGAUAGUCAAUUAAAAGGUGCAAUUGCAUCACUACCAGAUGGACCUGCGUUGUAUUAGCUAGUUGGUGAGGUAACGGCUCACCAAGGCAACGAUACAUAGCCGACCUGAGAGGGUGAUCGGCCACACUGGGACUGAGACACGGCCCAGACUCCUACGGGAGGCAGCAGUAGGGAAUCUUCGGCAAUGGACGGAAGUCUGACCGAGCAACGCCGCGUGAGUGAAGAAGGUUUUCGGAUCGUAAAGCUCUGUUGUAAGAGAAGAACGAGUGUGAGAGUGGAAAGUUCACACUGUGACGGUAUCUUACCAGAAAGGGACGGCUAACUACGUGCCAGCAGCCGCGGUAAUACGUAGGUCCCGAGCGUUGUCCGGAUUUAUUGGGCGUAAAGCGAGCGCAGGCGGUUAGAUAAGUCUGAAGUUAAAGGCUGUGGCUUAACCAUAGUACGCUUUGGAAACUGUUUAACUUGAGUGCAAGAGGGGAGAGUGGAAUUCCAUGUGUAGCGGUGAAAUGCGUAGAUAUAUGGAGGAACACCGGUGGCGAAAGCGGCUCUCUGGCUUGUAACUGACGCUGAGGCUCGAAAGCGUGGGGAGCAAACAGG